AUAUACCGGUUCUUAGAUCACCGAAGUUAAGCAUCAUUGGGCGCGGUCAGUAUCAUUGGGUGACCACCUGGGAACACGGGUG